GGCUGUGGGAAACCCAGAUUCCCAUUCCUGCCUGAGAGGAGCAAACUCCACAUCUUCUUCAGGGGUGCCUUGAGUGGACAGAGAUGGUGUUUGGAGCUACACUGAGUAUGGGAGCACUGUAUCUGCUGAGCAAACUCUUAAAGCCAGAAUCAGACCAUACUUUUGGCAAGACGCCACUAGAGUGAGAGAAGCAACGAAACUGUUUAUAAUAGGUGUUCUAUCCAUCAGAAGAAUGUCGAUGGACAAAUUACUGUAACCUGCCUAAACCAGCUCAGCCCUCCUUCAAAUCAAAGCCCAAAUUGUAUUGGGAGUGUUUGUUUUGUCAUUUUUUAAAUAAAUGAAGAAAUCAAUGGUAUAUUCACAGCA